GAGAAAUGGGCUAAGAAUCUUUAUAUUGCAUCUGUUUGCUAUGGUCGAACUGUCUCAUGAACAGCUAAAGUUUUGUUGGGAUGCCACGAUGUUCUCAUGACUUUGCCCAUGCACUGCCAAGAAGGCAGUUCUCACCAUUGAUGGCUCUUAUUUGGGAAGCAAGCCCCUGCUUAAGCUAAAAUGGAAGUCUAUGUAUGCAAAAUUCUUCUUUAUCGCCGCCAAUACAUAGCACCUAUUACAAUACCUGUGCACUGUUUUUCAAUUGCAUUGAAAUCCAUAUGAGCCAAUAUCCUUUGUCCAUCAGGAUGGAUUGAUUUACCUGUUUGCAAAAGAACCUUGUAUAGUUAUGAACAGUGGUCACUUUUGAAGGUGUGUGCACAGGUCAUAUUUUCAUUAUUAGUGGCUACUCUCAAGAUUGUUCUACCAUAACUUUGGGAUGGGCUGUAGGGAUUCUCAGUCAUUGAGUCUGUACUUAUCUUUUCCUUCCCCCUUGCUUUUUUGGACUUAAGGAACGUAAAAUCUUUCAUCCAUGUACUCAUGAGAUGUCUGAAUUUGACCUAAAUGACUGAGGAUGUACUUAUUUUGUAUACUUUGAAGUAAAAGUUUGUAAUUCUCCCGUUAUUAUAUUGUUAUUUUAUGCUAUAAUUUAAAUUAUUAUGAAUUGUGAUAUGUAACAUCCAUUUAGUGUAUGUGCUGUUUAUUCUAUAAGUAUGAGUGUAUUAUACUGCAGUUAUUUUUUAGUGACAGUAAAAUGCACUCUACCAUCUCUUUUCUUAUCCUAUUUCCUAUUUGUGGUGAAAUUGUUUCCCUUUGAGGGUAGCUGUUUACAUGCUAACAUUUCCAGACUGGUCUUGGUCAUUUUGGUUUUGCAAUAAUGCAAAGCCAAAAACCAUCCUGUUUUCAGAGAAUUAGUUUUUCUUGUCAGUAGACCUCUUGAUUUUUGGGCUAUGUACAAUGACUUAUUGAUGGUAUAUCAUGGUUUUUUAAAGCCUUAAGGGGGAGCUGACUAUCUGCUGGUUGCAUAAUAAAUAUGUUUACAAUUCUUGUUAAUGCGGGCAAAUUAGGAGUUGGUGUGUGACAGAGGAUCACUGGUUAAAUUAUUAAUAUUUUGUGGUCAAGAUCUUGAAGGUGGAAACAUUGUUUGGCAAGACCUCUUUGCUCCAAGAACUUUUGAUGCCAAGAGAACCUUCCUGUCUUUUAAUUGGUGAGUCCUUCAUCUUUGGAAGUUUCAAUUGUAUAUUCUAAUGGUUCUCUUUCUAGUUUCACAUUUUCAAUUGCAGCUUGGGAGUGUGAUGGGUUAAUAGGUUAAUUAUAUGCACCGCUUCACAAUCAUUUGGAUCAAAAGUUUAGAGCCUGGGUUUCUUUGGCAUUUAACUGGUAAAGUAUGUCACUGCCGAACCUGUUGUAUGCAUGCGUACGUCUUUUGCUCGUGGAGUUCACAAACUGAAUUAAAAGAAUUGACGCAUUCAGGUUUUGGAUCUGAUGCAGAGGUAAUCACUUCGAAUUGAUUUACAUGUGGUGAAGUUGCUACUAAUUUAGUAAGUCAAUCUUUAUAAUCAGUUAAAAAAGAAAUUUAGACAGUUCUUAGGAAAACAGAGGAAUAUGAAACAUGAGUCAUUUUGUUUUCUUGAGUUUAUUCGAGGCGUUUUCCUGCCAGAUUUUUCUUCUUAAAUGCAAUCAGUGGUGCUUUUCAUUAUGUGGCAAUAUCAAGUGCUAGAAGGACAGAUGGUCAGAUGGUGAUGUAACAGAGACCAUUAUGCUUUCUAGUACAAUGGUGAGAAUGUUUAUAGAAGCUGAUUUAUAGGCACUUGGUUCUUCUAAUUAUACCAUUGAAUUUUUGCAAUUUUGUUUUUUAUUUUUUUAUUUUUCUGUUGAAGUACUGCACAACCGUAUCUAUGUUGUUCUGUGGUUUGAGGAAAAUAAGAUUUGGGGCAUAAUUGUGAAAUAACUUCAGGUUCCUUUGGUUGCUGAGGGUGCAAGUAUGUAGACUAGUAGCAUCUGUAGCAUGCUUUUUCAUGUGUGUUCGAGAAAUGAUUGCACUAAAGAAGCUUUGUGAUUUUUAUAUAAAGCAAAAUCAAACACAUUUUGGAUUUUUCUUUUUCUUUUUUAUUGUCAAUUAUACUGAAUUUUGAUGCCAAACUGUUUAGGGUCAUCUAUAUGUAUGUUUUUCCUUCACAAUUCAAAAAGAUACACUCUUUCUUUUGUUUUUCCUUUUUUUGAGAAGAAAAGAUAUACUCUUUCUUUCGAUUGAUGGAUAAGAGGAAAUGGGAAAGGAAGAAGAAGGGGUUAUACUUGGGAUGCUUAAUGAGUUGGGAAAGAAAGGAUAAGUAUUGACUAAUUAUCCCUAAACACCUCAUUUGUACUCCCCCCCUUCUAAUAGUUAAUAAUACCUUUUAAAAAUAAUUGUUUACCCUCUGAUUUUUUUUUUUUUUUGUUAAAACUUUUCUUUCCUACUGACUUAAGAUUUUUUUUUUCACUAGAUCUUAUUCCACUACUUUCUGUGUUAUCCUAGUUAGGUCCUACUAUUGCUUUCUUGCAAUUUCAAUACCCUCAACUUUUCAUAGUCUAGUGCUAAUGUUCAAACAAUCUCAAUUUCCUCCCAGACUUGUUGUCAUGGGUGCCAGUUUUACAUCACUAGAAAUGCAUGUCCUACCGUAUGCUCUCAAUUCUUGCAUUUCUGCUACAGAAACCUGUUUAUGUAUUUGUUUGUGAUUGAAAUUUGCUCUCAUACAUUGUAGUGAUUGAAGAAAUACUUUGUUCGUCUUUUAGUUCCAUAAAUGCAUAUCUGGAGGGAGUCCUUGCAAGAACCAGUAUGAUCAAUCCAGUGAUGAAAUGUUUCUUCCCUGUCUAGCUCACAUAACAAUCUUUUACUUUUAUUGGGUUGCUCAGGCUACUGUUUUAUGCAUUACCCAUGCUGUAUCCGACAGAAUGCUAGACAGGUUGUAUGUUUGUGGUUUCUUUAUCGCUUGCAGAGCUUAUAAUCACCAGCAUUACCUAUACAAGUACUUUGUUUAACUAUAAAGUAAAUUCUAUUGACAUGGUCUCCCUGUU